CCUUCUGGCUACAGGAGGUGAUCCACAGA
rnacentral:piRNA from 1 species